GACGAACGCGGCGGCGUGCCUAAUACAUGCAAGUAGAACGCUGAAGGAGGAGCUUGCUUCUCUGGAUGAGUUGCGAACGGGUGAGUAACGCGUAGGUAACCUGCCUGGUAGCGGGGGAUAACUAUUGGAAACGAUAGCUAAUACCGCAUAAGAGUAAAUGUUGCAUGACAUUUGCUUAAAAGGUGCAAUUGCAUCACUACCAGAUGGACCUGCGUUGUAUUAGCUAGUUGGUGAGGUAACGGCUCACCAAGGCAACGAUACAUAGCCGACCUGAGAGGGUGAUCGGCCACACUGGGACUGAGACACGGCCCAGACUCCUACGGGAGGCAGCAGUAGGGAAUCUUCGGCAAUGGACGGAAGUCUGACCGAGCAACGCCGCGUGAGUGAAGAAGGUUUUCGGAUCGUAAAGCUCUGUUGUAAGAGAAGAACGAGUGUGAGAGUGGAAAAGUUCAC
rnacentral:rRNA from 1 species